CCUACGGGUGGCAGCAGUGGGGAAUAUUGCACAAUGGGCGAAACCCUGAUGCAGCGACGCCGCGUGAGUGAAGAAGUAUCUCGGUACGUAAAGCUCUAUCAGCAGGGAAGAAAAUGACGGUACCUGACUAAGAAGCCCCGGCUAACUACGUGCCAGCAGCCGCGGUAAUACGUAGGGGGCAAGCGUUAUCCGGAUUUACUGGGUGUAAAGGGCGCGUAGACGGCAACACAAGUCUGGCGUGAAAGCCCGGGGCUUAACCCAAGAACGGCAUUGGAAACUGUGCGGCUGGAGUGCAGGAGGGGUAAGCGGAAUUCCUGGUGUAGCGGUGAAAUGCGUAGAUAUUAGGAGGAACACCGGUGGCGAAGGCGGCUUACUGGACUGUAACUGACGUUGAGGCUCGAAAGCGUGGGGAGCAAACAGGAUUAGAUACCCCUGUAGUC
rnacentral:rRNA from 1 species